rnacentral:rRNA from 1 species
AUUGAACGCUGGCGGCAGGCCUAACACAUGCAAGUCGAGCGAGCGGCGGAGGGGAGAGUAGUGCCUGGGAAUCGCGAUGUCGGGGGGGAUAACAGUUGAACACGACUGCUACUACCGCAUAAGAUUGGGUUGCCGAGGUGGGAUUAGCUAGUGGGUGGGGUAAUGGCUCACCAAGGCGACGAUCCCUAGCUGGUCUGAGAGGAUGAUCAGCCACACUGGAACGGAGACACGGUCCAGACUCCUACGGGAGGCAGCAGUGGGGAAUAUUGCACAAUGGGCGAAACCCUGAUGCAGCCAUGCCGCGUGUGUGAAGAAGGCCUUCGGGUUGUAAAGCACUUUCAGCGAGGAGGCGUUACUCGCAGAAGAAGCACCGGCUAACUCCGUGCCAGCAGCCGCGGUAAUAC